rnacentral:rRNA from 1 species
UACGUAGGGUCCAAGCGUUAUCCGGAAUCACUGGGCGUAAAGCGUGCGUAGGCGGGUGUUUAAGUGCAAUGCGAAAUCCUGUGGCUCAACCAUAUGGACUGUAUUGCAUACUGGAUACCGUGGAGGAAUGCAGAGGCAAGUGGAAUUACUGGUGUAGCAGUGAAAUGCGUAGAGAUCAGUAGGAACACCAAUGGCGAAGGCAGCUUGCUGGGCAUUUUCUGACGCUAAGGCACGAAAGCGUGGGGAGCGAACAGG